GGAUUUUUAACAAUGUUCUGUGUAAUAUCUGUGUUUUGAAUAUUUAAAGAUAUUCUGAUGGUAAGGUUGCCAAAGUAGUUUGAAUUCAUAAAAAUUAUUUAUACCACAAUAAUGUGGGAUAUGUUUACACCUCUUUUAUUUUGUAGUAAUUAUUUUGUAGUUCUGAUCAAUUUGCAUUUAAGUCAUUUACAUUAAGGAAAAUAUUUGUUAGAACAAAUACCUUUUAAUAAUACAAGAGAAAGAUAAAUUGUGCCACAACUUCUGUAUGUAAACGACCACAUCAACAAAGUAACUGCUUUAUAUUAAUAUAGCUUAUUGGUUCUCAUGUGUGCUUCAGCUAGCCAACUACAGUUUCUGCAACCAUUUUUUUUCCUGGUAUUUCCUCUAAGUAAAAUACCUAUGUUUUAAAACCCAUUGGAUUAAUUUUAUCAAGUAUCAGAAUUACUGAUCUGUUGGCAAAGUUUUAUUGGUGUCUCAGUGUGAUCACAACACAGCUUGUAGCAACUGUUUUAUAAAGUUUUUAGAGAAUUGUAUAGCUCCAAAGGAAUUUGUAUAAUAGCAAAAUUUAUUUGAGGGCUAACUGCUAUUAGGCAACUUCAGCAAUUUUACAGAGAGCUCAUGAAGUUAAUCUCAAAAUUGUACUUUUGGGGAUUAACUUACUUUACAAUAUCUACAACUAUUUUCAACACAUUUUACUAUACAUAGACUUCAUUUUUCUCAGUAGCAAUUCCUACAGUAAGCCUUACAAUGUUAUCAAAAACAAUCCCUAUUUCAGUGAGAAAUGACACAUUUUAUUUUUAUAAUCUGGGUGAAAUUGUUGUGGGUAGACACCAAAUAGUUAUUUUUGUUCCCAUAUCUAAAUUUGCUGCUACUUAUUUGUAUGCUUUUUCUACAGUUUAUUGUUGAUUUCAAAAGUUUGGUGGUUAUUGUUAUCUUUAUUGUCGUAAUCUAAGCUGAUUGGGCAGCCAGGGGUACUGGGGUACAGUCCAUCAAUGCUGACUAGGCAGGGUUCAGUGAAUAAAUAAGUAAACCAGUUUUUGUUUGUUUUGUUUUUUUAAUUUACAAAGUGAAAGGUAUUAGCAAUAUUGCAAGUUUAAGACUAUAGUUUUAGGAAGAGGUUCUAAUGUGUUCCUAAAACCAGUACAAGAAUGAAAAUGUUUGAAAGCCUUGUUUUGCUCAUAGAAAGUUUCAGUUAAACACUGUAGAAUUUUCCUACCUAUUGUUGUGUAAAUGAUAUAGAAAAUAUUUUUCUAUGGACAAAAGAUUGAAACUGUUAACUUCUUUUGCUUUGUUCUUUAAAAAGGAAAAAAAAUAAUAUUUGUAUGUCUUUCAUGCUGUAAAGAAAUGAAUGUAUCUUUCAAAUGUUACUAGAAUUAAGACUUGAUCUUAAGGGUAAGGAUACGCUUUGUUUUAAAAAAAAGUUAGCAAGGAAUUGAAAAGGAAAGAGUGUUUCCCAUUUCAUUAUACAAAAUGCAAUUUUAGAAGAAAAUGUCACUUUAUUUAUAAACAAUGAUCAUUAUUGAAGCAUAUUUCAAUAUUUCAAAUACCUUCUUUUUCACUUUGCUUUGUGUUAGCUCUAGAAUAGAAAUUUUCACAAAAAAUGUGUGUAUACUGUUUUUAAGUAUAAGAUUAUUAAAUUGUAGACCUCUGGUUUGGGGGAGUGUGUGUGUGAGGGUAAGCAUUCUGCUGCAUGUGUUUACUGUGAAGGAGAGUUCUCAGGCUCCGUCCCUGUCUCAGCCGCAGAUGAGGACAGCUGUCUGGAGUAUGUGACUUCGGUGAAGCCAGAAAAGUGUGGCUAACACUCACCACAGUAAAUCAGUGCAAAGGCCCUGACAGAUAGUUUGUUUUUUAUUCUCAGUAUUUUGGACAGGUAAAACCACUGAGCCCAACUCUGACCUAUAGCAGUGGUGUCUUACAUGGCUGAGGGUUUAUUAAUUUAGCUGAACAGAAGAAAAAAAAAGCUCUACAUUUUAAACCAACAGGUAUGAUUAAUUUGUUCAACAAUUUCUUUGAAAGGUAGUAUUUAUUAUUCAUCAUGCACUGAGCUUGACUCAGCGGGGCCUUUAUUAUUUGGGCUCCUACUUCCAUUUCUCCAAGGUAAAAAAGGUUUUUAAACUUCCAUUUAUCGUAGUCUUUAUGAUGUAAUAUUUUCCUUCAUUAAUUUUUGUUAUAGUUGUUAAAAGAUUAAUAUCAGGCCCCCUUAACCCUGAGAGUUUCCAAAAUUUAGCAGAUAAUCUGAUAAUCUUAACUAAAAUGUCACAUUGCUACAUGAAAUUAUCACCGUAAAAUCAUUAAGGAGACUCAGCCCUACAAUCUUAGGCUAAAAUAGGUUCUGAUUUGUUUUCCCUAAAUUCACUGUAGGCACGCUUGAACCCAUUUUACCUGUUACUAAAAGAAGCUUCUUCAUUUCUAUUCCUGAAUUGUGUUCCAGUUUUUUGCCAACCCUUCAGCUAGUUGACAAGAUUACUCAAGCUUCCUAGUAUCCAAUAGAGUAGGUCAUAUUUCAUUGCUGAAAUUGAUUUUUUGAAUUUCAAAUAGCACUUUAUUUCAAGCUUACUACUGACUUAAUUUAUACAUUUAAAGAUAAAAUUUAUCCUAGAGUCUUGUAAAUAUGGAAACAUAUAACAUUAGCACGUAGAGCUCAUUGGAUUAGACCCACGUUUAAAUGCUUUACAAUGAUCCCUUGAUCGUUUGAUAUUUAAAAGGUAACUUGUGUGAUUUUAGCUUUGCCACUCUUCUGUAAUUUAUUUGGUACAAUAAAGGCUACCCAGUUGACAGUCUUGCUGGACUCUGAGUUCUCUCAGCUAGCUUCAGCCACAUUUGGUUCACUAAAAUCAUUCUGCUUUGCAUUUUUGUACAUUACAUAAUGAACACCUGGAAUCCAUUUGUUUUGUUUUGAGUUGUACUUAGGUGAUAAGUCAGUGCUUCACCACCAGUAAGUUGAAAGGGGCAAAGUUCUGACACUUUGUAUACAUGUUGAAGGGCAAGAUUUAAGAGACUAAAAGUUUACAUUAAGCUGUUUUCCUUUUCUGUCAUUAGAGUAUUAGUGCUUAGGCAAAUAAAAACUGUCCAGCCUGGUGUUCCAACAGCAUCAGGAUGUUGCAUAUUGUAAUCUUUUCAAAUAAGAAAAGCUAGUCUUUAUUUUCUACAGUGUAGGCUUAAUUUUUAGGACAGAUAGUAUAUGAUAGACUCAUCAGUGAUAUUUUUAAGUAGUAGUUUUAAAAAUAGUAUUUCUAUGUAGAGACUGUUUCAAUUU
rnacentral:lncRNA from 1 species